UUUUACUUUUACGUGAAAAAUCUUUUACUCAUCUACAAAAGUGAAUGAAAAAAAAAUGCUAAAUAGAUUCAAAAUUUUGUCCUGAGUUUAAAAAUACCCAGUGUUUACAUGCUUUUUUGCGUGUUAUAGGGCUAUAAGUACAAGUAGGCUAUUGCAGUUUCAAAACAUACAUUUUUAAAAUGUAUCAAUAGUGAUAUUGUAACACUAUUAUCUGUCAUAAAUCUCUG